rnacentral:rRNA from 1 species
GCGAACGCUGACGGCGGGCUUAACACAUGCAAGUCGAACGUGAACGAGUAGCAAUACUUUAGUAAAGUGGCGUACGGGUGAGUAGCGCGUGGGUAAUCUACCUCAAAGUUUGGAAUAACCUGUCGAAAGACGGGCUAAUACUGAAUAGAGCGAUGAGUGUUGUAAGAACACUUUCGGGAAAGGGAGCCUGAUAAGGGCCCUACGCUUUGAGAUGAGCCUGCGUCCCAUUAGCUAGUUGGUAGGGUAAUGGCCUACCAAGGCAGUGAUGGGUAGCUGGUCUGAGAGGAUGAUCAGCCACACUGGAACUGAAACACGGUCCAGACUCCUACGGGAGGCAGCAGUGGGGAAUCUUGCGCAAUGGACGAAAGUCUGACGCAGCCACGCCGUUGUGAGUGAAGAAGGCCUUCGGGUUGUAAAGCUCUGUGAGCAGGGACGAAGGUAGUUUAGUGCAUAGCUAAGCUACUUGACGGUACCUGCAGAGGAAGCACCGGCUAACUUCGUGCCAGCAGCCGCGGUAAUACGAAGGGUGCAAGCGUUGCUCGGAAUUAUUGGGCGUAAAGGGCAGGUAGGUGGUCUGAUUAGUCACUAGGUGAAAUCCUUGGGCUUAACCCAAGAAGUGCCUGUGAAACGGUCAGACUGGAGUACUCUAGAGGGUCGUGGAAUUCCCGGUGUAGCGGUGAAAAUGCGUAGAGAUCGGGAGGAACACCAGAGGCGAAGGCGGCGACCCUGGGGAGUGACUGACACUCAACUGCGAAAAGCGUGGGGGAGCAAACAGGAUUAGAUACCCUGGUAGUCCACGCCGUAAACGAUGGGAACUAGAUUUAGGAGGUCUUGACCCCUACUGAGUCGGAGGCUAACGCAAUAAGUUCCCCGCCUGGGAAGUACGGUCGCAAGAUUAAAACUCAAAGGAAUUGACGGGGGCCCGCACAAGCGGUGGAUCAUGUGGUUUAAUUCGAAGCAACGCGAAGAACCUUACCUGGGUUUGACAUCCUCUGACAUUCUCUUGAAAGAGAGACUCGGUAGCAAUACCGCAGAGAGACAGGUGCUGCAUGGCUGUCGUCAGCUCGUGGGGUGACCUGUUGGGUUAAGUCCCGCAACGAGCGCAACCCCUGUCCUUAGUUGCCAGCAUUCAGUUGGGCACUCUAAGGAGACUGCCGUGGUGAACACGGAGGAAGGUGGGGAUGACGUCAAGUCCUCAUGGCCUUUAUAUCCAGGGCGACACACGUGAUACAAUGGUUGGUACAGAGGGAAGCGAAGUAGCGAUACGGAGCCAAUCUCAAAAAAACCAAUCUCAGUUCGGAUUGGAGUCUGCAAUUCGACUCCAUGAAGGUGGAAUCGCUAGUAAUCGCGGAUCAGCACGCCGCGGUGAAUACGUUCCCGGGCCUUGUACACACCGCCCGUCACACCAUGGGAGCUGACUCAACCAGAAGACGGAAAGGGUAACCGCAAGGAGCCCUCUGGCGAAGGUGGGGUUGGUGACUGGGGUG